UCUUUCUUUCAGCUCCCCAGAGCCACCUGAACUCCAUUGAUUUCAGUGGACUUACACUGGCAAAAACUGAAGUAACAGUGGCUAAUCAGGCCUGAUACCCUCCUUGAUCAGCCUGUGGUGCCACCCCUGAGUGCAGCAAAUGAUUAAUUUAGCUGAUGUCAGAAGAAACAACAUAUUGAUAGAGAAUGGAAGAAAAGGGAACAUAUAAAAGAAGACAGACUUGUUUUUGUUCAACCCGCAUUCACUGCACACUAGCUAUUCUACCAAAAGUCUCUAAUCAGUCAAUUUUACCCUUUGAUGCUGUAUGAAUUUCUCACUGUGAUCCAGCUUCAGUCUGAAGUAUCUGGUAUUUUCCUAUUGCUUCCUCACCUACUUCCAAAAAGUCAAUAACUACCAGUGAGGUGAGUUUAAAAAUAAUAUACCAGCCAGGGGCCAGGACAUGUUUAAAUCACAGACAGGACAUCCUUGAAAGACCAUGAGCUUCAAUAGACUUUCUCCAGAUCCACGUCUAUUUAUUUCAUGCUACGUAAUUUUUUAUCUUCUCCGGCCU